AGUGAACGCUGGCGGCAGGCCUAACACAUGCAAGUCGAACGGCAGCACAGUAAGAGCUUGCUCUUACGGGUGGCGAGUGGCGGACGGGUGAGGAAUACAUCGGAAUCUACUUUUUCGUGGGGGAUAACGUAGGGAAACUUACGCUAAUACCGCAUACGACCUACGGGUGAAAGCAGGGGAUCUUCGGACCUUGCGCGAUUGAAUGAGCCGAUGUCGGAUUAGCUAGUUGGCGGGGUAAAGGCCCACCAAGGCGACGAUCCGUAGCUGGUCUGAGAGGAUGAUCAGCCACACUGGAACUGAGACACGGUCCAGACUCCUACGGGAGGCAGCAGUGGGGAAUAUUGGACAAUGGGCGCAAGCCUGAUCCAGCCAUACCGCGUGGGUGAAGAAGGCCUUCGGGUUGUAAAGCCCUUUUGUUGGGAAAGAAAAGCAGCAGGUUAAUACCCCGCUGUUCUGACGUUACCCAAAGAAUAAGCACCGGCUAACUUCGUG
rnacentral:rRNA from 1 species